rnacentral:lncRNA from 1 species
GUCCACCUCCUACAGGCAGCUGUUAUACAAAAUUAAGAGAGGCAGAAGGGGCUCGACCAUGCCAACCCAGCUGUUCACCUCCCCUCAACAUUUCCAAUUAGAGUGUGAGAUUAAGAACGGCCAGGGGAUUUCAAGGAAAACCUAUCUCAGAAAAAUCAGAUUGAGAACAUCACCAGCAUUCCUCCAGCUUGUUUUCUCAACACACAGAGUUCUAGAAGCUGGGAAGUUCAAGAUCAAGAUGCCAGCAGAUUCCACGUCUGGAUCGUGUAACGAUCAAGAGAAUGGAAGACAGGCUGAGUUUGAAUGUCAGCUCCUCCACAUCUGGCGAGAAUUUGUACGAGUUAACCAACCUCUCUGUGUCUAAGUUUCCUCAUCAAUAAAACAGGAAUGAUAAAAUAGAAC